CCUAUUGUGUUCAAAAGGGGGAGAAAGUAGUAUUUCAAAAAUGAUAUAUCAAAACCCUCUUGAACACUAAGAGGAGGAUCUCCUUUAGGGAGAGUUUUUGUUUAGUCAAAGGAAAAGCAUUUGAAACAGGGGGAGAAAAUUUCAAAUCUUGAAAAUGCUUUGCAAAAUCUUACUCAUUUACCUUUGACUAUUUGCAAAAGAACUUUGAAAAAGAUUUACAAAAGAAUUUGCAAAAACAAAGCAUGUGGUGCAAGCUUGGUCCAAAAUGUUAAAUAAGAAAGUAACGAUCCAUGCAUAUCUUGUAAGUACUUAUAUUGGCUCAAUUCCAAGCAACCUUUACACUUACAUUAUGCAAACUAGUUCAAUUAUACACUUCCAUAUUUGCUUUGGUUUGUGUUGGCAUCAAUCACCAAAAAAGGGGGAGAUUGAAAGGGAAUUAGGCUUACACCUAGUCCCUAAUUAAUUUUGGUGGUUGAAUUGACCAACACAAAUAAUUGGGCUAACUAGUUUGCCCAAGUGUAUAGAUUGUACAGGUGUAAAAGGUUCACACUCAGCAAAUAAAAAGACCAAGUUUUGGAUUCAACAAAGGAGCAAAGGGGCAACCGAAGGCACCCCUGGUCUGGCGCACCGGACUGUCCGGUGUGCCACCGGACAUGUCCGGUGCACCAGGGGACUCAGACUCAAACUCGCCACCUUCGGGAAUUUCCAGAGGCGACUCGGCUAUAAUUCACCGGACUGUCUGGUGUACACCGGACAGUGUCCGGUGCGCCAAGGGAGGUCGGCCUCAGGAACUCGCCAGCUUCGGGAAACUCCAACGGCUAGUCCACUAUAAUUCACCGGACUGUCCGGUGUGCACCGGACUGUCCGGUGCGACUCCGGAGCAACGGCUAUCUCCGCGCCAACGGCUCUCUGCCGCGCAUUUAAUGCGCGCUCUGCGCGCGCAGAGGUCAGGCGCGCCCAUACUGGCACACCGGACAGCAAACAGUACCUGUCCGGUGUGCACCGGACACCUAGGCGGGCCCACAAGUCAGAAGCUCCAACGGUCAGAAUCCAACGGCAGUGAUGACGUGGCAGGGGGCACCGGACUGUCUGGUGUGCACCGGACUGUCUGGUGCGCCAUCGAACAGACAGCCCAGCCAACGGUCAAGUUUGGUGGUUGGGGCUAUAAAUACCCCAACCACCCCACCAUUCAUUGCAUCCAAGUUUUCCAGCUUCCAACCACUAUACAAGAACUAGCAUUCAUUGCAAAGCACACCAAAAGAGAUCAAAUCCUCUCCCAACUCCACACAAAGCAUUAGUGAUUAGAGAGAGUGAUUUGUAGUGUUCAUUUUAGCUCUUGCGCUUGGAUCGCUUCUUUUCUUUCGCAUUCUUUCUUGUGAUCAAACACUCACUUGUAAUUGAGGCAAGAGGCACCAAUCGUGUGGUGGCCCUUGCGGGAAGUUUGAUUCCCAAGUGAUUUGAGAAGAGAAGCUCACUCGGUCCGAGGGACCGUUUGAGAGAGGGAAGGGUUGAAAGAGACCCGGCCUUUGUGGCCUCCUCAACGGGGAGUAGGUUUGAAAGAACCGAACCUCGGUAAAACAAAUCCGCGUGUCACACACUUCAUUAUUCGCUUGCGAUUUGUUUUGCGCCCUCUCUCGCGGACUCGUUUAUAUUUCUAACGCUAACCCGACUUGUAGUUGUGUUUAUAUUUGUAAAUUUCAGUUUCGUCCUAUUCACCCCCCCCCUCUAGGCGACUAUCACCUACAUGUACCAUUUUGGCACAAUUAUAAAAGUGUUUCCUAUAACUAUUGGAUUUAGUUCGUUUAAUGGAAUUUUCUUAGAUAAUUCAGAUUUGAACUGCAAGUCACUCAAAACUUGGAAAACCGUGCAUGCAAAAAUGAUAUUCAUGUUAUUUAGCACAAGUUACGCUCGAUAUCAGGAGCGGACCGGAAACUUCGAGCACCAAGCUCACUAAACAUGGUCGUGAACUUGCCAUCCAACUGUUUCAAAAUUGUAUAAAACAUAAUCAAAGUCAGAAAAUCAUGAAACUUGUCCACAUGUCAUGAUAUCAUAUAUGGAGUCUGUGAUAAAAAUUUGAGAAUGUUUCGAGAAAGUUGUGACGCACUAUGUGUAGAAACCUAAGAGAACGACAUUUAAACUCUAUGAUUUUAAGGGUUGGGAUGUUGUGUAUAAGGUAUCGCCGCACGGGAGAUUAUAUGUUCCUAACGAUGAAGAUUAUAACUUAGACCCGGACACAUAUGAUGGAGAGUUCUUCCAAGAAGAUGGGCUGGAAGGGCGAUUUGAGAUAGACUUAAUAGAAGCUAUCGGAAUGGACGUAGAUAUUGAAAUGGUUGUUGAUGAGGAGGAGGAGGAGGUGCAAAAUGAUAAUGACUUAGUAAUCCUUGAAGGCAAUGACAUUAACGACGAACUUGCGUCUUCAGAUGGCAUUGACUAUGAAAUGGUUGAUAGUGACGAUGAGAGUUAUGAUCCGGCUAACCCCGACAUAUAUGAAGAUUAUUUUUAAUCGAUGUAAUGUUAUAUGACUUUUUAUUUCACACAUGUUUUUAAAUACAUCUUUUUAUAUGUGAUUAUUUGUUUACUCUUAAUUGUAGGUUGUUGGACAAAUAUGGUGGGCGGUUGGCUGAGGAGGAGGAGGGGGAGGAGCAGGACGGCGGACGAGGCACAGCAGGCGACUCAGCAGGACGACCUUGUCCAGCAGCAGGCGACGCAGCAGGACGACGACGACCAGCAGUAGGAUGACGACCAGCAGGAGGAGGUCGCCUCAGGUUUGAGGAGCGUCUACCUGCGAGGUCCUGCGAGUCUCCCUCAGCGUCCCAUACUUCGGGACAGGCGGCCGCUGAUUCGGCCGGAUGGGGAGAGGCAUGUAACUUUAUGUUCUUCAUUCUUGUUCAUAUUAUGUGUUCAAAAUCAUAAUAUGAACUAAUACUUUUUAUUUAUCACUUGGACAGGUCUUGGACGGUUGUGGAGAAUGCUGGGGAUCAUCGUCACAACCCCAAUGGCAUCCUCGAUCUGCUGUGCAGGGAACACUUCCCUGGACUGGUUGAGUACGCCGGAGUGACGGACCCAGCCUACACCUUCGACCACUACGUCGUCGCCCCCGAUGCAGUAGACCGGGACGACCGGAAAUUCAAUAACAAGGCGGAGCAGGUGAAGAAAGAGUUGUGGGUAAGUCUUAGUAUAAUGUAAAAUAUGUCGCAUUCGUUGCACAUGCUUGAAAUAAUGUAUGGAUACAUCAUUUUUGUAUGCAGGAUUUUUUCAGAUGUGAGGCAGGAUACGAGGCUAGGGCGGAUGUGGUGGCCACCACGAGCUGUAAGAAGCUCGUCGUGGACAUGCACUAUGAGGCCCAAAUCCAGGCCAUCGUCAGCUACCAUGGCUUUGGGGAGAAGGUGACCAAGCAGCAAGCCCGAACCAUGUUGUUGACCAGAGACCAGUACCUGCAGGUAAAUUCAUGCAUGUUUGGUACCAGUACUCCAUGCAUGAAUUUAAUUUUAUCUUCUGAUAUGCAGUGUACGUGUUUACUUUGUAGAUGAUUCCACAUUGGUGCGUCGCACAUCCUCUGUGCUGAGAGCAGAUGGUGGAUAUGUGGUGCUCGCCUGAGUGGGACGAGGCGCACAACGCUAGCCGGGAACGACGUCUGAUGAUGCAAGGUCCCUCCCACCACCAAUGCAGCCGUAGCCUAGGCCAAUAUGCAGAAGCAUGGGUACGCCCUCUUUUUUAUUUAGGUAUAUAGCACUGGAUUAGAUAUUAUUUCUAACUAUCUCGUUGGUUUUCUUGCAGUCAGCAUCACAUGGUGGCCGACCUUGCUCCAUCUUCUCGGCCUAUGCUAUGGCCCAUAAGGGCAAGGCGACGUCCGACGUCACCUACAACCCGGAUGACGGGCCCGAGGCGUACAGCAACCCUGUCGUCUACAGUCGUCUUCAUGAUUACAUCGCCAUGGCGCAAGAGGUCCAUGGCCUAGAAUAUGAUCCGAGCACCGAGCAGAUCGACCCCGAUGUGCUCAUGAGGGUCGGAGGAGGCAAGAGACAUGGGCGGUACUAGAUUGCCGACGGGGCAAUCGACUCGUCGUCCACUCCCACUCUGUCUUAGGUGCGAGCAAGGAGCACGGGCUCGAGUCCAACCAUACGACCUCGGCACGACAGCUCACAGCAUCGCAUACAGCAACUCGAGGUUAGUGCUUUUAUAACUCGCCAUUUCUUGAGUUAUAUACCUUCUUUUUGAGUUACUAUAACAUUGUCUUGGAAUAUUACAGACCCAGCUAGAAGAAGAGAGGAGCGAACACCAAGAGAUGGAGGCGAGGAUGGAAGCAGAGCGGGAGGCCCGCCUGGCAGAUCAGCAGAGGAUGGCGAAGAUGUUUCAAUAUAUGCAGAGCCUUGGCGCCGCAUAGGGUUUCGCUCUGCCACCUCCAUUGUUCCCUACAAUUGAUCUUGCACUGUUCCAUACUCCUGCGAGUAUCAAAAUUGUAGUUAGAUGUUGGUAAUGCAUCUGGUAUAACACAUGCAAUCUCUUCUCUGUGCAGGGCUGUAACAUCCAAAUUCUAAACUUGGGAUUGGUAGACAAAAUCUGAGCAAAGUACCCUUGAUAAAUAAUUGGACGUUAUAAUUCACCCUUUUAAAGGUAGAUGAUCAUAAUAAAAUAAUGAUAGUUAAAAUAAAUCAUAAUAAAGAGUAGACAUUUAAAAAUGUUCCUAUCAAAACAAAGGGAGAAUUUUUAUUUUGAGUACACACCCAAAAUAAUAAUGUAUUGCAAUAAUGUGUUGUACUUCAUGUUGAAAACAUUACCUAAUUAAAAUAGUAAUAAAAUAAAUAAAGUAAUACUAUGUAGAAAUUGUGAAUCAAGUUGGGGUUUUGCUUAUGCAUAAAUUUGAACUUUAGAAUUCAAACUUGGUUUGAAUUGGAUUUGAAAUAAGAAUUUGAAAUAGAUAUCAAAAAAGAAAAAGAAAGAAAAAGCUUCUCCGCUUGGGCCCAUCCGUUCCGUGGCCCAACUUCCUUUUCCCACUCGCGGCCGAGCAAUCCCCGCCCGCGUACUCUACCAUGUGGGCCCCGUUGGUCAGUGGCUCCCUCUCGUGUGCGCUGCUCUCCGCAUCCGUGCGGGGUUGAGAGCACCUUCGGGCUGACAGUGGGCCCCCCUCAUCAGACUCUCCUGUUCACCUUCUCCAACUGCAACAGCGUGUUAUCUCCCACACGAGCUCCGUAACUGAAUCAACGAAUUCACCGCGAGGUUGUAGAUCCAAUUCCUUGAUCCGUGCUCGGACUCUAUCCGUUCUUGGGGUAUAAAAACACUUCCGUCGGCCCUACCUUGCCCCCAUCAUCCAUGGAGUGCAGAGGACAUCAGAGCGAGAGAGAGAAGAAAAUUUGUCGCUGCGGGGUGGGAGCUGUGAAGGACCGCCGCGCACGCUGGCCAUCUGCGACCUCACUGCGGCUGUAUUGGCUUGCCGGUGAAUCACCAAAGCUCGUGUACCUGGGCUCUGCGUGGGUGGUCACGAUUGGGUAUCCAGGCAGGGUGGCUACCUUGUCAGACUCCAUCUUUGCCGACGUGGUUCGACCUCCACCGCGAUUAGGGCAUAGCGCCACCGGAUUCACGGUACAAAUUACUCCCUCUUGAACUUCCUUUGUACUGGAUCGCGUUGCACUGGUUGGCUUGCGUCGGAGCUAGUGGAAUUGCUCUCUGUGAAGCCUGGCGCCGCCGCGGGCCGCGCCAUUCCGUGGCUGGGAUCGUCGAGAAUUUAAUAGCAGAAAUUGGUUCCACGUUCGAGUUCUACUCCGUUCCCUCAUCAUGUGGCACCAAAUCACCCAUGGAUUAGAGCAUCGGGGCGCCGAAUUGGCCUAUGCCGGUGGGAUCGCCGCUGCGGCUUGCCCUGCACCGCCGCCUGGUUGGUAUGGUGUAGGUGAUGGUCCCAGUACCGUCGAUCUGAUGAAGAACGGUGGCGAUUAGAAACAGAAUGUCGGUCUGGUCGGAUGUGGCGUGGGUCGUUCGAUUCCGAUCGAUCGGACGUGCGUGGGAUUAGGUUGCGUACCGGUUUGCAUGGUAGUGGAGUUAAUCCUGGCCGUUCACACUUGAUCGGACGACUGAGGACUUAUGAUACCCCUUCGGAUCGCUGACUUUACAAAUAGGACCCUCUGUUUUAGGUAACAAACUCGCGGUCCACUGCAGAAGUAGAGUGAGUCUAGGAAUUUUCAUAGAUUAGCCCCUGUGCUUCCUGGUAUUGGUGUGCGCAGUCCAGGAGAUAAAGAAAAUAAGAAAAAAGAAUUUAGAAAUUGAUUUUGAGUUUAAAAAUAAUUGCAGAAGCUCAAUUAAUUCAUAGAAAAUUCGUAUGAUGUCCAAAUUAGUCCAUUCCAAUUGCUAUAAUUUUGUAAUAUUAUUGUUUAUCAUUUGUACCACUGUUUUGGCAUAAAAGUCAUAUUAAAAUUUAUAUUCUAUUUAAUCUUGUACAAAGCACAUAAAACCUUAGGAAAUUCAUAACUCCUUCGUUUUAACUCCGAUUUGAUAUGUUUCAGUUGCGUUAGCUUCGUAUAAGUAUUUACUAUGCAAUAACAACACUUAUUAUACCAUGUCUUAUUAUGUUAUAAUUAGGUCUUUAUUUAACUUAUGUUGUUUAGUCUUGUUAAUGAGCUCAUCAUUAUCUACCAAAAUAUAAUUUAUGGUAAAUUUAUAAAUUAGAUUAAAGUUGAGAUAAUUAUUUAUAGAAUAAUCUCUCAUAUGAUUUAUACUAACCAAGUGAUAACAUAGUUUAAUGGUUAAAUCAUAACUCCUUAAUCGUAACUCCGAUUUUAGUGGUUCUCGUUCCCACAAUCUCGUAGCAACGCGUAGAUCAUUAUUAUUCAAUUUGUUCUCAUGUUUGGUGUGAUAUUGAUUUUAUCUAUACAAUGUUUGUUUGUAUUGCUACGACUAGCGCGAGGUUUCGAGGAUCUGAAGAAUCAUCCUGGUAACUCGAAUCUCAAGUGCCAGGCAAGUUGUGCCCUUGAUCCACUUUUGUUACCUAAUAAUAUUCUUUAUUAUCACUUAUCAAUGCAUAGGUUUAAUUUUGAUGGGACCCAAUAGGUCACCCUAGUCUGUUUAUCCUGUUUACCUUGUUUACCCCUGAUUCACUUGGGUAGUUAUGCUAUUGCAUUAUAUGGUUUUUGGGAUAAUAUUUCAUUACAUCCAUGUUCCUAUUAUUUGGUUAUGUUAUUUAUGUUCAUGAUAAGAUCAUUAUGUUAAUGGGAACAUGGAGCGACCACCCGGGAAAACAGUGCUACCACAAGGGUUUAAUGGGACGCCCUUGGCUGAUUAAUUAGGAAAGCUAGUGGAUGACUACUUUACCCGAAAGGGGCAAGGGCAGUAGGGGAGUGGUCAGUGUAGGGAGGUCCUUGGGUUGAUUUUGCUGUGAUGACGGCCAGGCGAGGGAUUCCUGCACUGGAGUUUCCUAUAAACUCUAGCAGGUUUUCUGAAGCUAGUGGAACUUUGUAAAGGCCUCGUAGUGUUACCCUGCCUCACCUCCUUGGUAGAGGUGUAUGGGAUUCAUGACCCCUUGGCAAAUGGGUAACAUGACUUGUGGGUAAAGAUACACAACCUCUGCAGAGUGUAAAACUGGUAUACUAGUCGUGCUCACGGUCAUGAGCAGCUCGGACCCUCACAUGAUUAAUCUAUGGAAUUAAAACUCAAUUUGUCAUAUCAUUGCAUUGGGAUUAUUUUGUUGUUACUUUUACUUAUUAUUUAUUAUGGUUUGGUAUUUACUUACACUUAGUAACUUCUAAUAAAAUUUUGACCAACUUAUAAAAGCAAUGCUCAGCUUCAACCUUUAUUUUGUUGAUCAGUCUUACACUUCACAUGAACUCCCAGCUUUGGUGAGUUCAUGCCACAUUAUUCCCCACAACUUGUUGAGCUAUGAUCAUGUGUGAGCUCACCCUUGCUGUCUCACACCCCCACAGGAGAAGUACAGGUGGUUCAAGAGGAGCCACACAUCGAGGAGUUCGAUUCGAUCUAGGUGGCGUCUCCCAGUUGACUUUCUGGCGCCAAGGAUGGAUUUUAAAUCCUGUUAUAUUUAUCUUUUAUUUUUUUUGUAAGUCUUCCGCUAUGUAAUAAGUACUCUGAUUAUUGUGACAUUUAUCUUUAUACACUCUGUUAUUAUAUAUGUUGUCUUCUUUGGCGCAUGUAUGAGAUACACCCGGCUUUGUCCCUUAAAGCCCGGGUGUGACAAGGGGCCAAUCUAGGGCGGCAUCCAACAACCCUCAUGGAUCGCCCGGUCCAUCGUCGCACCAGUCCAGCCGCCCACCUUGAUGAGAGUUAUGUUCUAAGUGUUGAGACUUCAGAACUUGUGUUGAAUACUUAUGUUUGUGUUAGAAACUUUCGUCAUCCGUCUCGUCAUUUCGACUUAUGAGACUUAUGUUCUUGAUACUUAUGUUUGUGUUCAGAACUUGGAUAUUUAUGUUUGUGUUGAAUAUUUAUGUCUGUGAUGAAAUCAGUGAUGUAUAUAUGCGAUAUAUGUGAUGUAUCUUUUGUUUGUCUAGAUGGAAUAGAAAAAACAAAUAAAAAGUGUAUACUGGUCACUUUGCCGAGUGUCAGCGCCAUAGCACUCGGUAGAGAAGCAAUACCUGGGCACCGGUAUAGCUUCUUUGCCGAGUGUUGUGGCCCUGGCACUCGUCAAAGAGGCAAGCUUUGCCGAGUACCUCCUAGAGCACUCGGCAAAGAUCCUGACAAAGGGACCCGCUGGUGGAGCCUUUGCCGAGUGCAGGUCGGCAGACACUCGGCAAAGUGGUAACUUCUUUUCCGAGUGUAUUAGGAGACACUCGGCAAAGGCAGCGUCGUCUUUACCGAGUGUUACCUAGAACACUAGGUAAAGCCGCCGUCUUCGUCACCCGCCUCCGUGACGGCUGCUUUUCUUUGCCGAGUACCGUCUGGCACCCGAUAAAAAGUACUCGGUAAAGAAGCCUUUACCGAUUUACUGUUCGCCGAGCCCUCUUUGUCGAGUAUUGCACUCGGCAAAGUCCUGCCGAGUGUUUUUUAGGAUUUAUCGAGUGCUUUAGGCACUCGGCAAAACGCCUUGUUCCGGUAGUGUUUGCACUCCUUAACAUAUAAAGUGUUUGUUUGGAAUUACAGUGUGUCCAACAAAUUUUAAACUAAGGGGGUGUUUGGUUUCUAGGGACUAAUAUUUAGUCCCUAGAUUUUAUUCCAUUUUAGUUCCAAAAUUGCCAAAUAUAGAAACUAAAACUUUAUUUUAGUUUCUAUAUUUAGCAAUUUAUACACUAAAAAGGAAUAAAAUGAAGGGACUAAACAUUAGCCCCUAGAAACCAAACACCCCCUAAAACACCCGCGUACAAAUGGCGUUUGAGAAAACAGCGGCGUGCACCGUUGACCGCGCGGGUGCACCGUUGGCGUGUUGUCGUCCUGGAGGGUGGGGGCCUCGCGCCAUCGCCAAGUCGCCCAUGUGUGUAGCGCUGUCUGCCACUGCCCUGGAAAAAGAAAACAGGAGUAGGUGACGAGUUGUUUCGCCGUUGACAUCCACUCCAUCAGCCCUUCCGCCCCUCCGAAAAUAGCCACAUGUAUAAUAAUUUCGUCGUUGUUAACGUAUAUCUGACAUUAUAUAUAUAUAUAUAUAUAUAUAUAUAUAUAUAUAUAUAUAUAUAUAUAUAUAUGGUUAUUGUUUUGUAUUAAAGUUGACUAUGGGUCUGUUUGGUUGGGCUGUGGCUGUGAAAAAAGUUGCUGUGGGCUGUGAGCUGUGGAAAAAGCUGCUGUAGGCUGUAAGCUGUUAAAAAGCUAAAAACCGUUUGGUGGAAACCACUAAAAGUCGUUAAAAAUUCUUUGAUAUAUGUUUUCACAGUUCCAUCCGAAAAGUCACUAAAAGCAGGUCCAGAGGUGCUUUCAGAUUUGCACUACGAGAAAGUUGACUUUUAGAAAAAAGCUGCUUCCUGAAUCCAGCCCUUUGGUUGGCUUUUGACUUUUAGGGGGCAAAAGCCAAAGCCAAAAGUCAAACCACGUAGCUUUCUUCUGCGGCUCAAUCACUCUCGCUUCCGUGUUCCGUGCCACCACCAAGAUUGACGAGUAGCCACCAAGGAUCGCCACGGCGCACCCACCCACCCUACCAUGUACCUUUUUUUCCUCCUCAGAGCUUGUUUGGGACAAAGGGUAAUGGAGGGGAUUGAGUGGGCUAUAAUCCCUCACUAUUCAAAAUUAAGUAGUAGGGGAUUCUAGCCCCCUCAAUCCACUUCAUUACCUUUGAUAACAAGCCCUCAGCGAACUCCCCCUCCCUCCUGACUCCCGUUGCGCGGGCGAGCAGCGGACCAUUGAUUCGCACACGCAUCCUCAGCUCAGGUAGACGCGGACCUCCAAACCAACCCAAGCUAGCGAUCCAUCUCAGCACCAGCGAGCGAGCUUCCUUGUCCGCCUCUGCGGUUCCCUUCGCUCCUCGACCUCGAUCAAUCAAUCAUUCGUGGGCUCGUGGCCCGGCCCCGGCCCUCCUUCGCGCCGCGCCACCUUCCAUGCUCGCUCGCUCGCACAUGGCCGCUCACCCCUCGCGCACAUGACACGGCGUAGGUAGUAGACCGAUCAAUUCCUCUUUCUUACACGGAAUGCUAUAAAUACAGAGCCGCCGGCCACCGGAUGAUGAUGAUGAUGAAUAGGCCGCAACCGCAGCAAGCCGGCCCGCUGCAGCUCCUCCGUUCGCUAGGACUAGGAGUAGGCGGAGGCGGAGGCGCCCGGCGGGGGGCCAUGAAGUCGGCCACGUCGCUCCUGCUCGGCGCCGCGCUCGCCACCGCCUUCUUCCUGCUCUACACCUCCCUCUGCCGCGACCUCGGCAGCGCCGCUGCCGCCGCGCCCAGGUCGGGAUCGCCGCCGCCGACGACGCCGCGGCGGGAGCAGGAGACCGGCGACACGGCCGCCGCUCGGCAGGAGGCCGCCACGGGAGAGGGCGGGGAAGAACGUGUGGCUGCGAGCAGCGACGGCGACCACAGAGGCGGCGACGCCACAGCGGAGGAGAAUGGUCAGAGCAAGGAGGAGGAGCAGCGGCGGAUUGUGAUGCCUGCCACGUCAACUACCCACGAGGUAAGUCGUUGAUAUUUGGCUUCUACUGUCCGGUUGCCAUUAUGAUUUGUUCAACAAAACUCAGCGGUUGGGGUGAUUACCCGUCGCUUGUAGAAUUUCGUUGUUGUCUAGUAGGUUUUUUUCCCGAAAUUAGGUUAUUAAUAGUUUUUCUGGCUGUUUAUUACAUUCUGUACUUCGAUCGCCUGGUCACUGCGUUGUUUCAAAUAAAGUUGUUUUUUUUAAUAACACAUAAUUUCCAAAUAAUGUUCAUACCUAACCUAACAUGGCCAGCUGAAGGACGGUACAGUGGUGCAUGUCAGAAGAGCGCAUACUUUAAGCGCAAAUUUUACUUAUUGUGCACAAUUUUCUAGUUAGUUCUUCUCAUUAAUUAACUUACAGUUGCUCAGAGAUCGAAUAAUAACAAGUGAACUAGCAUCGAUCAAUCAGCGCGGCUGCUCUUGCCUCACAAUUUACUCAUCUUGUCUCCGAUUAUUCAUUAGCGUUCCGAGGUAAAUCUGAUGUUCCCCACCACCCACCAGGCCACCUCCCACCAUAGACCGCAGCCGAAGCAGCAGAAGAAGAGCCCACCACCAGCGUCCCAGGAUCUGGCGGACCUGCUCCGGCGAGCGGCGACGGCGGACAAGACGGUGCUGAUGACGGCGAUCAACGAGGCGUGGGCAGCGCCAGGGUCGUUCCUGGACCUGUUCCUGGAGAGCUUCCGCCAGGGCGAGGACACAGCGGGCCUGCCGCGGCACCUGCUGGUCGUGGCCAUGGACGGCAGGGCCCUGGAGCGAUGCAACGCCGUGCACCCCUUCUGCUACCUGUUCCGCGUCGACGGCAUGGACUUCGCCGCCGAGCAGAAGUACAUGGAGGGCGACUACCUGGAGAUGAUGUGGCGCCGGAACCGGUUCCAGCAGAGCGUGCUGGAGCUGGGCUACAGCUUCCUCUUCACGGACGUGGACAUCCUGUGGUUCCGGAGCCCGUUCCCGCGCCUGCCCCGCGCCGCGCAGGUCGUCAUGUCGGCCGACUUCUUCGUCGGCGACGCCGACUCGCCCAACAACUACCCCAACGGCGGCCUCCUCUACGUCCGCUCCUCGCCCGCCACGGUGGGCUUCUACCGCCACUGGCAGGCGUCGCGCGCGCGGUUCCCGGGCCACCACGAGCAGUACGUCUUCGACAGGAUCGUCAAGGAAGGGUACGCCGGCGCCCGGGUGCAGUUCCUGGACACGGCCGUCUUCGGGGGCUUCUGCCAGCACGGCGACGACCUGGGCAGGGUGGCCACCAUGCACGCCAACUGCUGCGUGGGGCUGGACAACAAGCUCUUCGACCUCAAGAACGUGCUACAGGACUGGAAGACCUACAGAGCGCGCGCCGCCGCUGGCAACGCGCAGGGUUUCUCGUGGCGGGUGCCCGGAAAAUGCAUACACUGACUCAGCUGGCUCCAUCCUUGUCUAAACUCUGGAGGGGUUGAGCUCAUUUUUCGAUUGUUCGCCAGAUAGUACAACUUAACAGCUACAUCUCUUUUUUUUCCCUAAUGUAUACAUACAUAUAUUGUUUAUAUAUAUAUAUUUGUAAAGCUUUUUAUGGAAUGUAGAAAAAUUAUUAUUAAUGACGCAAACACCACCGCGUUUCAUCUCAAUCCGCGCAUAUCUCAAACGCAACGUCGAGGACAAGGACCAAGCAUAUGCAGGGCUCCGUCCAUUCCACAACACCAUCCGCGGGGUUACAACUAUAGAUGGCCAAAUGGGCGGCCCGGCACGGCACGGCACUGGCACGACCAGGCACGGCACGGUUAGGGCACGGCCCGUUUAGCACGAUUAUUAAUCGUGCCGUGCCGGCCCGGCACUAGUGCCUGAACCCAGGCCCAGGCACGGCACUAAGGGUCCUUAGCCGUGCCGUGCCGGCACGGCAGGCACGACCAGCCCAUAGUGCCAGGGCCGGCCCGGGCACUACAACAGAAAACACACAAAACCACAGAAAAUCACAGAAACACAUCCAUUCACUGAUUCACAAAUUAACACACAGUUAAACAUACUAAAAUACCUAAUACUGAGCUGUUUAGUGCAAUGGCUGCCUCAAUGAACUAGAAUAGAUUAGGGUCAGAUUAAUAACUUACCAAAGCCGGAGCACCAGAUCGGUCCCUCACGGCUCCAAUCACAGAACAUGCAGGCAGUAUAAUAGAUUAGGGUUCGAGCACAGCUCACAGAUCACAAGCACAGAUCAAAAGCACAGAUCACAAGCAUCAGAUUAAUAACUUACCAAAGGUCCAAAGCCGGAGCACCAGAUCGGUCCCUCACGGAUCCAACCUCCAAACACAGAACAAGGCGCAAGGCGGUAUAAUAGAUUAGGGUUCGCCGGUUUGAACAAGAUCCAGAGGCGACAAACACAAAGUAGAAGCACAAGCAAACCGCAAAUGAUGAGCAACUUACCAAAGCCGGACCGGAGCACCAGAUCGAUACCUCACGGCUCCAACCUUCAAUUCGGGUAGGGUUAAAGCACGGUUAGGGUUCGUCACAGAACAAUCACAGAACAGCCUCAGAUCUAGACGCGAAAGACACAAAUCAGAAGAACAAGCACGUGAUUAGCAACUUACCAAAGCCGGAGCACCAGAUCCAACCCCGACGGCACGAUGAUUAGGGUUCAAGCACGGUUAGGGUUACGCACCGACGCAGCGUUACAGGGAGAGGGAGCCGUAGAGGGGAGACCGGGAGAGAGACCAGAAGAAGAAGAACAGAAGUUCAAGAUCAGAGCACCAAACUUAGGGUUUCGAACUAGAUCCAGAGGCGACACGAGCAAGAGAGCACAACCGGCCAAGAGGAUAGUGUUACCAGCAGAGGCGCCGGAGAGGGAGAGGACCAGAUGAGGCGGCGGAGAGGCGGUGAGGGAGAGGAUGGAGGCGUCGCUUUCCAAAUCGCCGGUGAGUCACCAGGAGCGGAGGAGCCGAGGAGUCGCGGAGCGUUCGAGAGAGAGAGUGAGCUGUGAGAGUGAGAGAGUGACGCGGGGGACGGGGGAGGGGUUAUGUGUUAAUUCUCUCGUGCCUAACCGUGCCUAAACCCUAAUCGUGCCGUGCCCGUGCCGACCCACCGUGCCCCACACUCGGCCCAAGCACGGCACUAGAGGUCGGGCCGUGCCGGCACGGGCCCGCCUCCCGUCGUGCCGUGCCGUGCUUGGGCACGGUGGGCCGUGCCGUGCCUCGUGCCGGCCCGGUUAAGGCGGCACUACUGGCCAUCUAUAGUUACAACAGCUCAACGAAUCACGGUGAGCAACAAAACAGCACUGAAAAUGUAGUUGGCACGAGGAGAAAGCUGAGUUCUAAGAAUACUGCCUCAGUUCCACAUACAAUCUACACAUACCACUACUGAUUGACCAUGGUUAGCUUCCCAAAGAAUGCAGAAUCAAGCUUGCCUGCAGCAGUUACACAGGGAUAUCAUUUCCCUGGCCCAUUACUCCAAAUAAGUUGGAGGCUCAGAUCCUUCUAGCGACGAUGGAUCCCUUCCAUCACCCGCUUAUUACUUAGCUACGACAAAGACCAUGCUUCAAUCUUAUAUUUUCUGUGCCCUUCUCCCCACAUUGUCUUCAGCCAUAUCCGUACCUUCUGACUGGAUGAUCUCCAUGUCCCUGAUAUCCCUCUUCAACACAUUACCUAGCUUGGCAACUGCCUCUGUUUGUUGUUGUAAGGCCUGUGAUGUAGACAAUUACAAGUCAGGUUGACACAAGACCAGGCUAUCUAACAAGGACGAGGGCAAAACUGCACCACUUACCUCAAGAAGCUCUGUAACACUCCGCUCAUCAACUUUUGCAGAACUGGGAAUAUAAACGGAACCACCAGCACCACCACUGCUAGCCAGAAGACGCGACGUCGAAACAAGUGUAUUGACCCUCUUAGCAAGAUCAGCGUUAUGUCCUUUUAGCUGCAAACAGAAGACCAAAAUCGAUGAGAACCCAUAAUCGGCCAAAAAGUAGGAAUAACAAAUGGGGAGAAAACCUGACCCGCUUUAAUAUAGCAACCAAUCUUUCAUACAAGUCAGCUUCCUCCUUUGUUAAAGGACAGCGGUAGCCCCGAUUCUCCAAUGCCUCCACUAUUCUAACAAACUUUUAGCAGUUCGCAGAAUAACAACGAUGAGUUAGAUGCAUGGGCAAUUAGGCACGAAAAGUGAACUCACGCGAUCUAGAGAAAAUAUCACCCUUAAAAGACGUCUCUGAAUAGCCAGCUCUUGUUGCUUCAAUCGCUGGAUCCAAGGAUACGUGUCAGCUUGGAAAUGCCUUUGCAGCUGCAAUAGAAAAUAUGUUAGGCAAAAGAAGUGAGUAACGGAAGCGCGUAUGAAAACAUCCAUAUGAAGCUAUACCUUUUUAACAUUAGAGUGAGUCAUGCUCAAUCUAUCAGUGUCCGAAACAAGGACUUCAUCUUGAAGCUGCAAAGGAAAAGAACAAGUACCAAGGCUUCAAUAAAUUUCAAAGCUAAACCCUUGUAGAAAGUUGGGAAAUGGCUAAGAUAAUACCAUCAGAAGUACUGGAAAAGGUUACAAAGUUACAUGUAAAAGCUGAAAAUAUCAAGGUAUCUUUUACUUCUUUCCGUACCAAAAUACAAAAAGUGGGGCAUUCCUCACCCAGAGAAUGACAGAGACAAAUAUGACUACUGCAAGACUUAAAUAUAUGCCAUCAAUAUACAGAAGACAUAUAGUUCUAUCCUGCAGGGAGAUAAAUAUCUAAUGCAUAUGUGCAGCUCCACUUUAACUGCUUCAUCAACAUGUUGCGGAAUUGAAUUAUCACUAGACCAUGGAGGGCAGACAGAUGUGGCCAAUGUGAUCACGUAACUGAAUGAGAAUGUAAAGAUUGAAAACAAAUUGCUAUAGCAUAGAAAAUAUCACUGGCCAUGAAGUCUUUUUACAACGAUAACAACAACAACAAAGCCUUUUUAGCCCCAAAGCAAAUUGGGGUAGGCUAGAGUUAAAACCUAACAGAAGGCCCAAAUCAAAGUUCUGUCAUGUGGAUAUCUGUUUACCAUGCGCUCCAAUUCAAUACUAAAUCUUUGGUAUAUUCCAUCCUUUCAAGUCUCCUUUAACUAUCUCUUCCCAUGUCAAUUUUGGUAUUCUCCAAUCUCUCUUUCCAUUACUAUCGCGUCUUAAGAUCCCACUGUGCACUGGUGCCUCUAGAGGUCUCUAUUGGACAUGUCCAAACCAUCACAACUGAUGUUGGACAAGCUUUCCUUCAAUUGGUGCUACACCUAGCCUAUCACGUACAUCAUCUUUCUGGACUAGAUCCCUUCUUGUCUGGCCACAGAUCCAACACAACAUACACAUUUCCACAACACUUAUUUGUUGAACAUGUCAACUUUUUGUAGACCGACAUUUUGCACCAUAUAAUGUAGCAGAUCUAAUUGUCAUCCUAUAGGCUUGUCUUUUAGCUUCUGUAGUACCAUCUUGUCAAAACACUUGAUGAUUGGCGCCACUUCAUGCACCCUACUAUGAUUAUAUGGCUAACAUCUUCAUCAAUAUCUCCAUCUCUCUGUACCAUUGAUACUAAAUACCAAAAGGUAUCCUUCCUAUGCACUAAUUAACCUUCCAAACUAGCAUCUCCUUCCACGUGUAGUGGUGCCAAAGUCGCAUCUCCUACAUUCAGUUUUAGUUCUACUAAGUAUAACACCUCUGGACUCUAGAGUCUCCUGCCACAACUCUUGUUUCCUAUUUACUCUACCUGGCUUUCAUCAACUAGCACUAAAUUGUCCGUAAAAAACAUACACCAAGGGAUAUCCCCUUGUACCUUGUGGCCUCAUCCGUCAACAAUGCAAAAGGUAAGGGCUCAAAGUUGACCCUUGAUAUAUAUCCUAUUCUAAUCGAGAAGUCAUCUUUGUCUCCAAGUCUCUAUCACUUGUUCGAACACUAGUCACAAGGCCAUGAAGUCUUGUUACUGUCAAUAAAUUGGAAACAGCAAACAUUAUUUUUGCUUCUGUUAUUCUUUUGAGACUAUUAUCAUUAUCAAUUCAGAUGUUUAUAACUUUAUACGGAGACAAAUAGGUACAUUUUGAAUAAAAUGAGGUGAAUAAUGUAUUAGUGGCAUGAAUACUGUAAACCAUGAAUAGAAAUGUAUAAAAUGCCAAGGCUGAUUUUUUUUCCUUUUUAAAAAAUUUAGGCUACAGGCUAAUAAUCUGAUUCCUUCUUGGUUCUAACACAACCAAUGAGCCCAGUGUGCAAAUUUAAUGCAUCACUUCAGCUAGAAUUAUUGGAGAUUCAGAUGAAUGGAGCCAUGGACCACAUUUCUAGGGAAGGUAAAAGAAUGUGUUCUUUUUCUUCAACAACUACUAGCAAAGUGGAUUGCUUAGCCUGUUCUAUAUCCUUUUCUUUCACUGAGGGCCAACCCUACCUUUUUCUAGGUGACACUAGUCAACAGCCAACAUAACCAAAGAAUUAAACAAAAACUACUGUCAGUUCUGCUUCCUUGGGUUUUUCUUCCAAUUCAAACUUCAACUGUAUUAUAUUCUGAUUUCUGCUUUCAGAAGUUUUUUAUGUUAUAUGCAAUAUUGCAAUGCGACUUUUUUUUGUAGAAUGUCAUUUUUUUCUAUAUCCACAUGCUUAACAAAGAGCAUUCCGUCAGCAAAGAUGUUAUAAUUAUGUAAUGCUCCGUUUGGAUGUCGAUAUUGGAGAGGAUGGAAUUGAAUUAGGUUGAAUACCAAAUCAGGCAUGGUAUUGAAAUGAGAUGUAAUUCCAAUUCUAUUGUUUGGAUGUCACUGAAUUGGAGUUUGGAAUUGUGUGGUCUAAUUUCACGCAAUACCGAGGGGUGAGGCUUUGUAUUGGGAGAGGGUGUUCCUAGUUACAGUCCAAUUCCAGGGAAUUGAGCCUCUGACUCCAUAUCUCAAUUCCACGUGCAACCAAACAACAGAAUUUUGGAAAGCUGGUUCCAAUUCCCAAUUCUGCGCUCCAAUAUCUACAUCCAAACGGGGUAUAAACCAUAUUUCAUAACCUUUACAAAUUCAUUGUUGCAAUGAUACUUUACCAAUAUUGUUUUACAUGAUUCAAAUCACAAAGUUAGUCUAAAAGGUUCAAUGAAAUUUAUUCUUUCAUUGCCCAAUUAAAACAUCAAAUCCACCACAAAGUCUACUGUAAGUGAUUUCAACAUGUACAUGGGAAUUGGUCCAACUUGACAAGGAAAUCCAGCAUCUCUGAGAAUCAAUGUUACCUAAUGUAUGCUUAACAGUAUUGAUUAGAAAAGGAUGUGAUAUUUUUACAGAAGUCAUACACCAUUAUUUCUUAUCUUUAUGAGAACAUGUCAUACCAAACCCAUCUAGAUUCUAGAACAUAUAAGCAUGCUUGUUAGAAGCUCAGAUAUCAGCAUGCUUGUAUAGAUACAAAAAGAAGGGGAAAUUGUAAUAUUGCACACAAAAAAUCCAAAUUUACAUGAUUCCAUCAAAUCACAAAUCCUAAAAGGGCAUAAAUCCCGACAUUAUACCUUAAGCCGAUGGGAAAGGUCUUUAAAACCCUGCACAAGCUGAGGCCACAGCCUCUCCCUGUCUGCACUAUCCAUGCAUUCAAGUUUCCCCAUUGCUUCUGCCCACAUAAUCUGCCACAACGUAGAAAUAACAAGGAAUGAAAUGUUAUCAAAGGAAAGUGCAACAAAACAGAAGAUAGCAAAAUAUUUACACAAAUUUAUACAGGUGCUUACAUCUGAGGCAGCAACUGGCUUCACCCUUUGGGAAGGUUCUGUCACGCUGAACAACAAAUGCUGCCAGAUCAAAACAUACAGAAACAGACAAACCAAGUCGCAUCAACCCGAAUCUAGUGCACCACAAAGGAGAACAUAGUGACAAGUAAUCUCACCCUGAAAGCAUAACGUGGAUUACCGGGGUCCUCUUUGUACGCAUCCACAAUGGCCUGAAUUCACUCGGAAAUAAAACACCCAUUUAGUAUUUGCUCAGCAUUCUAGGCGAAUCUGAGAAGGAUUCCAUCGUUGCAUACCUGGAUGUCGCGGUCGGACGGGGAGAGCGGCAGCGGCGCAACGGGGGCCAUCUGGGUGGUGAUUUGCGCGCCGCCACCUCCUAGCAAGCCGAACGGAGAUGGGGACGGCGUCGCCUGCUGCUGGAACCCAAAGGGCGAGGGCGAAGGAGUCGCGCCAAACGCCGGCGCCGAAGAGGGCGUGCCGAAUGCCGAGGUCGACGAGGGUGUUCCGAAAUUGAGUGCGCCGAACGCCGGCGCCGAAGACGGCGUGCCGAAUGCUGAGGUCGACGAGGGCGUCCCGAAAUUCAGCGAGCCGAACGGCGGGGUCGUGGAAGUGGUCCCGAACGCUGGCGUCGACGACGAUGCCCCGAACGCAGGGGUCGUGGAAGCGGUCCCGAACGCUGGCGUAGACGACGGGGUACCGAAAGCGGGAGUCGACGAAGGGGUGCCGAAGGCAGGCGUCGACGAGAGGGUGCCGAAGGCCGGGGUGGACGACGUCGCGCCAAAUGCGGGGGUGGCGGAUGGCGUGCCAAAAACCGGGGUGCUGGAGGGGUUCCCGAAAGCGGGAGUGAUGGAUGGGGUCCCGAACAUGGCGGUGGCGGCGGAGAUCGCCGGCGUCAAUGUUCGGGAUGCGGGUUUAGGGUUCUGUUCUAGUGAGAGUAGAGGUGAGGAAACAAGGAGGGGCCGGGGGUUAUUCAAAUUUCAAAAACUUUCGGGGGUCGGCACGAAAGCAUCUCCGGUCUCGAGAAGGGGGUGUUUGGUUACUCCUGCUAAAGUUUAGGGGGUGUUUGGUUUCUAGGGACUAAUGUUUAGUCCCUUCAUUUUAUUCCUUUUUAGUGUAUAAAUUGCUAAAUAUAGAAACUAAAAUAAAGUUUUAGUUUCUAUAUUUGUCAAUUUUAGAACUAAAAUGGAAUAAAAUCUAGGGACUAAACAUUAGUCCCUAGAAACCAAACACCCCCUUAGUCCGGAUCACAUCAAGCGUUUGACUUUUAAAUAGGAGUAUGAAAUAUAGACCCAACCAACUGGACUAGAUUCGUCUCGUCUUUUAAUCUUCGGCUGACAAAUUAGUUUUAUAAUCCGACUACAUUUAAUACCCGGAAUGGAGGUUCAAACAUUCAAUGGGACAGGGGCUAAAUUUUAGUUUGGGGUAACCAAACACCCCCUAAGGAGUACUUUUUUUUCCUCUUUCUCUCUUUUUUUUUAUGGAGCCGUGGGGUGCCUCUUUUUUUUGUCCGUGGGAUAGGCUUCCUUUCUUGUUGGAUCUCCGGCCGAUCGUACGGAUGUCCUGUAAAAUAUUAUAUUGUUUUGCAAUAUAAAAAUAUUAUAUUAUUUUUGGAUAAAGGAUUGGGUACAAUAAAAACAUCCUGGAACUCCUCCAAUAAAGGCUAAAGUCCCUUUUCUGUGGGUGGCUUCUGAGUUUUAGGAACAGAUUCCAUUAGGGCUAGCACCCAUGUACCAUUUCCUUUUAACCAUUUUUCCACUUGUAUAGUGGACACCUCAAUCACAUUUUUACUUUGUCCACCAUUUCCCACCAACUUCACUCUCACUCCCUCAUCUUCAAAGCUAAUCACCCUCUCUUCUAAUCACAUUGCAUGGGGUUGUGCUGCUCCAACCAGUCAUAUCAUAGGAUUGCAUCAUAAGCUUCCAACUCUAGCACCCUCACAUCACUUUUAUAGGUGUGACCAUCUUCCCACUACUCGAGAGAUCUAACAAUCCUAUCACUCCUGAGUUUUUCACCAUUUGCUACCUUUACAGUAGCCAGAACACAUGGAGACACGGGAAGUCCCAACCCCUCCACCAUUUCUUACUGAUAAAGCUGGUGGUGCUUCCUAAAUCAACCAAGAUGAGCAUUACUUGAUUCAGUAUAAGAGCCCUUACUCUCUGCACCCUUCAGAUACAUCUGAAAGGGAAAUGUGUCCUUGGACCAUUUCUAUAUUGUUUUGGUGAUUAAACGAUAAACACAUUAUGUUUAUACUAACAUCAUCUUACAUGAGCAAUGAGCAUAGGCACGUAAAGCAAAUUGAGCUUGAAAGAGGGCAAAAUACAAAUCUAUAUGGUGCCAAGUGAAAACGAUAAGCUCUAGACACUUAGUCAAUUGUUCAAUUGUUUUGUGUACUAAUCAUACUUGUCUAAGUGCUAGGGACUUUAUGAAGUCAAGCCAAAAGGAGCAAAAGAGACUUAGAUUGAAAAAGGAGAAGGUGGACUGCUCUGUGUUGCAUCGGACGGUCCGGUGCCACCCACCAGACAAUCCGGUGUGCACCGGACAGUCUGGUGCACGGUCCAUCGAACAGCCUGCUCUGGGAAUUUCAGCCUGCGUCGGCUAUAAUUUACUGGACCGUCCGUGCAGAGCGCCGGACUGUCUGGUGUGCAAGCUAGCCAGCGGGUAGUGCCCACGUCGCCCGAGGACCAACGAUGCCACCCACCGGACAGUCUGGUGCCUCCCAGAAUAGGAAAUCAUCUGCCACACCCGGUUUUAGAAGGUAAACCGAAUGCGAACCAUGUACAUGCCAGGAUCAGCAAUUCACAUACACCCAUGUCAACUUAGGUUUUUGUUUACACGCGAUACAGACACCAGUCUCUAUACUGCUUUGAAAAUUGGAAGAAGGAGCGAAACGAGAAGAGAAAAGAGAGUAACGCCUGAAUUUGGUGAGUAUCAGAGAAUAAAAAAUUUACCCCUCAAAUUCAGGGUGUUACACCAGCCAAUCAGGGAUUUCGUAGCCACCCGCGGAUAGAAGGCAACCAGGGCCUUCCAAAUGGAGCUCCAACAGCUCCUAGGUCCCUUGGGCUAUAAAAGGGACCACUAGGCGCAUGGAGCACUACACCAAGCAUCCCUUGAACAUCCUACAAUGUCGAGACAAUGCGACCACACUUUUGCUUUGAUAGAUCGAGAUUCGAGCAUGUGAUUUGAGUUGUAACUCCGCUGCGUUGUCUUAUGUGCUCUUCUCUCAACUUGUUGUGAGUGUGUGUGUUGUUGUGAUUUUGUCUUGUGUGUUUCUCUACUCUCCCUUACACUUGUGGUUUAUUUUAGAUCAAUUGUGUAAGGCGUGAGAGACUCUAAAUUGUGGAGAUUCCUCACAACGGGAAAAACUUGAGAUAAGAAAAAAGAAUCGUGGUACUCAAGUUGAUCAUUGGAUCACUUGAGAGGGGUUGAGUGCAACCCUCGUCCAUUGGGAUGCCACAACGUGGAGUAGGCAAGCAUUUUACGCUUGACCGAACCACGGGAUAAAAAUCACUGUGUCACUUGUCUACUUUACUUUAUUGCGAUUCUAUUCUUUCUAGCACUUCACUUCACUUACAAUAUGCUCUAAGUUUAAUACUCAUCUUGUGAGUGCAAUUAAGUGAAGAAGUCCUCUUUGUUGUUCACUUGUUUUUUAUUGAUGUAAACCAUAAAACAAGGCAACACAAAUUUUAAGUGUUAAAGGACCUUCGUCCUUCAAAGCAUUAUUCCCUCUCGGGUAUAAGGAAUCUUAGACGAACGUUAUGAAGAACAAGUCCUCAUCAUUCAUAAAUAUAAAAAUUUACUUACAAGGUGUAAAUCAAGUCACAUAUUUAUUUCAUAAUGAAGAUAUAGAUACUAUCAAAGUUUGUAUUACAUCGAGACCUUCGGCUUGCUUGAGGCAAUGACGCGAGAGCAAUUACAAUUCAGAGUGAACAGUGCGGGAGUACUGUUCACCUAUUUAUAGGCAAGGGACACAGCCCAGAUAAAAAUACAAUUGUGACCUUAACAUAUAUACAUAAUCCUGAUACAAAACACCAGGGAUUAACCGGUCUUUUCCUCUUCAGCUCAACAUUAUGGUUGACCUUCGUAACCACCUUAAACCGAAGCUCUCUUCGGCGCUUUACACAUGCUCGUUGUAGCUUCGACAUUCAAUCUUGUUGCUUAUAGACAAUUUCUCCGCCUUGAGGACCUUCGGUAGAGAAGGAGACCCCCAAUAGUAGCCCGUUCGUAGUGCUAGGUCGUUUUUUCAUAAUGAGCUCGAUCCGUGAAAAACACGAAGGCUUCUAAAUGCCUAAGGUCCGAAAAUACCUUCCCUGAGCUUAUUAUUAAAAACGAAUAAAAAGUUACAUCCUUUGUCGGUCCACCGAUCAGUCAGUAUGCGCGUUGCGGCGGUUCACCUUCAUCACCUGCAAAGUUAUAUAAACAGAUGAGUUGGUAAGAAGUUACCACAACAUUCAUUGCUAUUGCAACGUUGUAAUGUUGAAAAAAUUCCCUGAAGCCAAAGCUUUUUUGCCAUCUUUGCACUUGCUGUGUGACCUUCGAAUAAACGUGAAAUUAGUUGAGAUUUAGCUUCGUCUCACAGAACUGAAAUGGCUAGAGUUAGGUCUACUGUCGGACUAAUAAACGAUGGAGAAGAAAUUGAAGCUACUGAGAUAGCCCCCAUUUCAGAAAUGAUGAAAUGUUCUGGGCUGUGGCGGAACUUCCCGAAUUAUUCCAACUUAAGUGUCUAAGUCCCGCCUUAGAGGCUAGACCACACUUAAAUGGGAAUAACACGUCAAUCCCUCGGAUCUAGUCCGGCGAGGCCACUGACAGGAUCAAGUACCACGUACUCACUCGAUGGUGAGGCACAGAGCAAAUACAAUAAAACAUAAAACCAUACAUUAAGGAGUAUUAAACUUAUUACAUCAUCAUCGGAGUUUUAGCAAAAGUAGUCAUCAUUGUUCGGAAUGCAGCGGAAUAAAACUAACAAUAAAUAAACAGAGAGAUGGGGAAGCCUGUCCCAUCACUCCUCGUGCUCCUCCUCAGCCGAGGUAGGGUCCCACUCGACUGUCCAGUCCGGUGGCAAGAUGGACGGCCAAGUCACUCCAGCAACCAUGUCCUCCAGAGAACCUGUAAAAUUAUGCCACAAGCAAGGCUGAGUAUACUAAUACUCAGCUAGACUUACCCGGUGUGAGGAGUCUACUCCUCUACCUCUAGACAUGCAUCUGUUUGGCUAGGGGGGUUUGGUUGCCAAAAGCACUAGCUGAGUCUAUAAAUCAAGUUUUAGCUUUGUCAAGUUUUAGUGUGACUCUCUUAAGACUACAUGUAUACCUAUCUAAUCAUACAUGGUAUCAAACAUUUAGCAAUCAACAACUUUUUCCAAGUCAUCUCAUUUCCACUUGUUACUCAAUGUAGCAGCAUGGAUCAAGCAGUCUCAUUAGCUGCGAGAAGCAGACGAUCCGGAUCGAGUUUUUAAACCUUGCAAGGUAAACCUAAACACACGACGUGGCGAGGCACUCCGUCCCCACACACAUCAACCGUCCCCAUCGAUUCCCCGUCAGCAGAUCAGGGCUCACCGCUUUGGCGUACAAUGCCUCACUGACCCCGACUGCCGUCGUGUAGUGACCGCACUUGUACCCACCAUAACCGGAAUGGGAGACUACGUCUUAGGUCGCGUGAGGGGAUAUGUCGGCUGCCAGGUUCACUCAGGUACUAGGCUUACCGAUUUACCAUAUUUCUCGGCAUAUGUUUAGUACGUUCAAACGCUUGACUCACGGUACCACACCUUAAUCCUUAUUCCAAUUUCCACCUCGUAGACAAUCAAUCCCCAUGGAUUGUUGUCCACAGAUCAACAUCAUUAGGCUAUGAACGGGGAUACAACCAAUUCCUGACCUCGCGCGAGUGCUGGAAAAAUCACUCGACUUCUACCGAGAUCCCUAAUUAGUAAGCAUCUACUCGACCUAGCAUACUUGUAUCCAUUUCAAAAGGAUUCCUGAGAUCAUGCAACUAGGGUUUCAAACAACUCCUACACUUAAGUGAAAAUUCCAUCCUACAAUCAUUAGAUGUAGUAAAAAAGCAUAAUAAAUAGGUUAUGCAUAAAACCGGGGCUUGCCUUCCAAAGUUGAGGCAGGCAGAUCCUCUGGGGCAGGCUCUGGUGCUGGAUCCGGGGCUACCUCCUGAGCAACUCCUUGCUCUGGCACGAGGAUGUACUCUCCGUUCGCGAGGUUACAAUCUAUCGAAUGCAAUGAAUAAGAUAUAUGUAUGCUAUGAUAUGUAGAAUUUAACAACAAUUAUGCCUUAGUGCAGAAAAACUAAGUUAGUUAAUCACUUAGGCCCUGUUUGUUUCAUUGGAAUUGAAUUCCAUUUUAAUAAUUAUAAUUUAGACUAAACUAAUUAAGUUCAUAUAUUUAUAUAUGUAAUAUAUUUGUAUAUUAUCUUAAAUCAUAUGAGAGAGAUAGUUAUAUAUUACAUUCAUGUUAUAACGAAGCAAGUAGAAGAGUGUGCUAUAAGUUGUACAUCAGAAAAAUAACAUGUAAUCUAUAGAAUAAAUUUCCAUCUCUCAUCUCAUGAAUUUAAGAUAGGCUUAUAUGAUAACUUUGGAAAGUGGUGGAAUGUCACAUUCUAAAAAAUAGCCAUUUUAAUAACAAGAUUCCAAUUCCUCAAAAUGAAAGGAAACAAACGGGGCCUUAGGGUUUCCUUGUUAUAAGAGGCUCUUAGGGUUUUAGGCUUAUCAAUUUAGGUUUGAGGUUUUGCCUAGCAUAAUGGAUUAAGACUUGGAUUGCCUCUUAAAUGUUUUAGUAGGCACUCAAGGGGUUUCGCUGGUUUGGUUAGGGUAACAUUAGUCUCCACCAUUAAUUCCCCUUUUUAUUUUCUAUUUAGGAUUUUUGAGUGUGUUUAAACUAUAACAGUGAUUUAAAUUCUUCCAAAAAUUCUGUAAAAAUUACAGUGGGUUACUAUUGGUCACUGUAGUCUGUCCUAUAAGUUUGGGGUCCAGAAUAAUUAAAAUAAUCCCUGGACAAAAAUAACAAAGGUUGGGGCAAAAGGGGUCACUUUGCACUGCAACUCUUAUCUAGGGGUGGGUUUUGUACUGAGAGUCAUUUUUCUGGUAUUUAUAGGUAAUAACAUGCUUCUGUGCCAAAAAUCACAGAAGGUUACUUAGUGGUUAUUUAGUUAUGCUUUUCUAAAGUUUAAUGCUAAAAAGACACUUACAACUAACUUGUUAUUUGAAAAAUGUCAAACAACAGAACUCAUAAUUUUUCUAUGUUUAUAGUAACAAAACAUUAGUUAUCCCAAGGUUUGGGGUGUUUUCUCUUCAGGGUUAUUUUCUAGGGUUUUUCUAAGUUUUCCUUAUUUUUCUAAAAUAAAAAGUAUCUCCUUUCUUUUGUACUAAACAAAGGUAUAAUAAAAUAGGUUUGGGGUGUUUUCUCUUCAGGGUUAUUUUCUAGGGUUUUUCUAAGUUUUCCUUGUUUUUCUAAAAUAAAAAGUAUCUCCUUUCUUUUGUACUAAACAAAGGUAUAAUAAAAUUUUCUAGUGAACUACACUGAAUAAGGGAGCUAACAAAAAUGUGGGUGCUCCCUGGUUCUUAUUUUAAAUAACCUAUUAUAUUUUCUUUAACUUUAAGCUAAAAAUGAUUUAAAUGGCAAACUCUAUUUUAAUUGGGUGUACAGAGGGGUAUAUUAUUUUUAAACAGGUUAGGAAGUGAUUAAGUGCUUCUCUGAAUUUUCUUAAUCCCAGUCUAAUAGUAUAGCUAUUUUUCCUUAUUUUAUUUAGCUUUUGAUCAGUUAAUCAUUUAAAUCUAAACUUUGAAGUUUUCUGCAACACUUAGGGGUUUUAUAUUUUUCCUAAGUAGCUUACAUUAUUUAGGAUCUGGCAAAAUUGGUUUGAUUUGAUUUGGGUAAACAAAACUGAAGUUAUGAAUUUUUCAAGUCCUAUUUGUAUUUAAAUCAGAAAUAAUAAAAAGGUUUUCUGGAAAUCCACUUUGCACCGAAGACCCUGGGUUCUUUCUAAACUAAUCCCCUCAGUUAUACCCCUGCGCCACUAUUCCCUUGAGUCGCUGACAAUGCACAAAACCCCCUGGCUUUUACUUCUUCUCCCCCGAGGUCCUUCCCCUUAUUUAAAUAGUACCCGUGGAAGUAAAAAGGGCGACAUGGCUUACUGGCGACGAGGGAGGUCCGGCGAGGUGGUCAGUGACGUAGGGGAGGUCACGCCGGUCACGUCGGUGUGCGUGUCAGCGUCAGAGGUGGUCAGAGUGGCCCUGGCCACGAGCGCAGGCGGUGGAGGUCGUCGGCGGCUCCUGUUCCGACCAAACCACGGCGAUAUAGCUCAAUUAAACGGCACGAGGAGCUCCACGGGGUGACGUAGAGGCUAUGCGUGCAGUGAAUUGGAAAAUAGUGCAGAGACUCACCCGGUCCACGUGCGCCGGCGGGGUUCCGAACUCCGGCGAGCACGAUUGCGCUUUUCUGGUGGCGGGGGUCCUCAGUUCAAGCUCUGGCAAACUUCACGGCCUCCCAGGGGACCUAUCUAGGGGCUUGGAUCAAGCGGAGGAGGGCGGGAAAUGGUUCGGCCACGGUGGUUGCCCUCGGGCGGCUCUGGCGGGUCGUGGGGAGGUCGCCGGAGCUAUGGACGAGCUCCGGGGAGUUUGGCGCGGUACAGAGCAUGCAAUGGGGAAGAUAGCCGGGCACUGGGCGGGCUUUAUAGCUGUGGCGCGGGCAUGGUCACGGGGCGGCCGCGGGCGCGCGGGGGUUCUCGCACGGGCGUGCUCUGAGCGCGCCCCCGAGUGUCAGCCCUCGUCGAACACGUGUGUGUUUGCUUCUGCCAUGGUUCAACGGCCGAUUGGAGUACCUUAGCGUGCAGAUCUUGGCAAAACACCCGUGUACGGUCUCUUCCCUGCACCAAAUCCUACCUUUUUUAUGUGAGUCCCAAGCAAGGAUACGGUCGGGGUAGGGAGAUAUAGGGGUGAGAAGUUGCCUUUGUCCUAGCUGUCCAAACCAAGACAAAAGCUAUGCCAAGUCGUGUCAAACGACUUAGGGUUGGGUUCAACCUUUUCCAGGGUGUUCUAGAGGUAUUUUGGCGCCACUUUGUCAAUUGGGUCAAAUGGUUUUGAAGUUUGAAAGAGGGUGAACAUGUUUGAUCUUUGGAAAAGGGGUGGUUUUGGACUUAGAAAGAUUCUGAUUUUCCUUUUAUGCUCAACCCUUUGGUGAACCUUUUGGGGUUUUUCUAAAAUCUUUUUGGGGUCACUUCCUUACUAUCAUUUGUAGGGUAUUAAGUGUACUACAUCUUUUAUAAUUGGCCCAAGUCAUGAUCAUGUGGUGUUCAUAGCCUUUUGGUCAUACUUACUUCUAGUGCUCCAAUUGUCCAAAGGGGUUUGCAUUAGGGUUUGGGCAGCUCUCCCCAUUAUGUGUGCAUGACAAGCCAAGGUAUGACUUCCAAGAUGGGUUGCACUUACUUAGGAUCUUGAGUUCCAAAUUUGGUGUACUUUCCCAACUUAAGUCACAUGUGAUGAUGGGCUUACUUGUGUAGUCUUGAGUGAAAACCCUAAGUAACACCUAGGGUGUUACAACCCUCCCCCCCUUAAAGGAAUCUGAAAGGGAAUUAGGCUUACACCUAGUCCCUAAUUAAUUUUGGUGGUUGAAUUGGCCAACACAAAUAAUUGGACUAACUAGUUUGCCAAAGUGUAUAGAUUAUACAGGUGUAAAAGGUUCACACUCAGCCAAUAAAAGACCAAGUUUUGGAUUCAACAAAGGAGCAAAGGGGCAACCGAAGGCACCCCUGGUCUGGCGCACCGGACUGUCCGGUGUGCCACCGGACAUGUCCGGUGCACCAGGGGACUCAGACUCAAACUCGCCACCUUCGGGAAUUCCCAGAGGCGACUCGGCUAUAAUUCACCAGACUGUCCGGUGUACACCGGACAGUGUCCGGUGCGCCAAGGGAGGUCGGCCUCAGGAACUCGCCAGCUUCGGGAAACUCCAACGGCUAGUCCACUAUAAUUCACCGGACUGUCCGGUGUGCACCGGACUGUCCGGUGCGACUCCGAAGCAACGGCUACCUCCGCGCCAACGGCUCUCUGCGGUGCAAUAAAUGCGCGCGCAGCGCGCACAGAUGGCAGGCGUGCCCAUACUGGCACACCGGACAAGGAACAGUAGAUGUCCGGUGUGCACCGGACACCCUGGAGGGCCCACAAGUCAGAAGUUCCAACGGUCAGAAUCCAACGGCAGUGAAGACGUGGCAGGGGGCAUCGGACUGUCCGGUGUGCACCGGACUGUCCGGUGCGCCAUCGAGCAGACAGCCUUCCAACGGCCACUUUUGGUGGUUGGGGCUAUAAAUACCCCAACCACCCCACCAUUCAUUGCAUCCAAGUUUUCCACUUCCCAACCACUACAAGAGCUCUAGCAUUCAAUUCUAGACACACCAAAGAGAUCAAAUCCUCUCCAAUUCCACACAAAGCCCUAGCGACUAGUGAGAGUGAUUUGCCGUGUUCAUUUGAGCUCUUGCGCUUGGAUUGCUUCUUUUCUUUCUCACUUGUUCUUGUGAUCAAAACUCCAUUGUAAUCAAGGCAAGAGGCACCAAUUGUGUGGUGGCCCUUGCGGGGAAGUUUUGUUCCCGGCUUUGAUUUGAGAAGAGAAGCUCACUCGGUCCGAGGGACCGUUUGAGAGAGGGAAGGGUUGAAAGAGACCCGACCUUUGUGGCCUCCUCAACGGGGAGUAGGUUUGAGAGAACCGAACCUCGGUAAAACAAAUCCGUGUGUCACACUUCAUUAUUUGCUCGCGAUUUGUUUUGGGCCCUCUCUCGCGGACUCGUUUACAUUUCUAACGCUAACCCGGCUUGUAGUUGUGUUUAUAUUUGUAAAUUUCAGUUUCGCCCUAUUCACCCCCCCUCUAGGCGACUAUCAAUUGGUAUCAAAGCCCGGUGCUUCAUUAGAGCCUAACCGCUCGAAGUGAUGUCGGGAGAUCACGCCAAGAAGGAGAUGGAGACCGGCGAAAAGCCCACUACAAGCCACAGGAGCACUUCAUCGGAAGAGUCCCGCACCAAGAGGAAGGAGAAGAAGAAGGACUCCUCCAAACGGAAGGAGAAAAAGUCUUCCUCUUCUCACCACAAAGAGAAGAAGGAAAAAUCUUCUUCCCACAAGCCGCAUCGGAAAGGCGACAAGCACAAGAGGAUGAGGAAAGUGGUCUACUACGAGACCGACACUUCAUCAACAUCGACCUCCGACUCCGAUGCGCCCUCCGUCACUUCUAAGCGCCAAGAGCGCAAGAAGUAUAGUAAGAUCCCCUUACACUACCCUCGCAUUUCCAAACAUACACCUUUACUUUCCGUCCCAUUAGGCAAACCACCAACUUUUGAUGGUGAAGAUUACGCUAGGUGGAGCGAUUUAAUGCGAUUUCAUCUAACCUCGCUCCACAAAAGCAUAUGGGAUGUUGUUGAGUUUGGUGCACAGGUACCGUCAGUAGGGGAUGAGGACUAUGAUGAGGAUGAGGUGGCCCAAAUCGAGCACUUCAACUCUCAAGCAACAACAAUACUCCUCGCCUCUCUAAGUAGAGAGGAGUAUAACAAAGUACAAGGGUUGAAGAGCGCUAAGGAGAUUUGGGAUGUGCUCAAAACCGCGCACGAGGGAGACGAGCUCACCAAGAUCACCAAGCGGGAAACGAUCGAGGGGGAGCUCGGUCGGUUCCGGCUUCGCAAAGGGGAGGAGCCACAACACAUGUACAACCGGCUCAAGACCUUGGUGAAUCAAGUACGCAACCUCGGGAGCGUAAAGUGGGAUGACCACGAGAUGGUUAAGGUUAUUCUAAGAUCUCUUAUUUUCCUUAACCCUACUCAAGUUCAAUUAAUCCGUGGUAAUCCUAGAUAUACUAAAAUGACCCCCGAGGAAGUUAUCGGGAAUUUUGUGAGUUUUGAGUGCAUGAUCGAAGGCUCGAGGAAGAUCAACGAGCUUGAUGAUGCCACCACAUCCGAAGCUCAACCCGUUGCAUUCAAGGCAACGGAGGAGAAGAAGGAGGAGUCUACACCAAGUCGACAACCAAUAGACGCCUCCAAGCUCGACAAUGAGGAAAUGGUGCUCGUCAUCAAGAGCUUCCGCCAAAUCCUCAAGCAAAGGAGGGGGAAGGAUUACAAAUCCCGCUCCAAGAAGGUUUGCUACAAGUGUGGUAAGCCCGGUCAUUUUAUUGCUAAAUGUCCUAUAUCUAGUGACAGUGACCGAGGUGACGACAAGAAGGGGAGGCGAAAGGAGAAGAAGAAGUACUACAAGAAGAAGGGCGGUGAUGCCCAUGUUUGUCAGGAGUGGGACUCCGACGAAAGCUCAAGCGACUCCUCCGACGACGAGGACGCCGCCAACAUCGCCGUCACCAAGGGACUCCUCUUCCCCAACGUCGGCCACAAGUGCCUCAUGGCAAAGGACGGCAAAAAGAAGAAGGUUAAAUCCAACUCCUCCACUAAAUAUGAGUCUUCUAGUGAUGAUAAUGCUAGUGGUGAGGAAGAUAAUUUGCGAACUCUUUUUGCCAACCUAAACAUGGAACAAAAGGAGAAAUUAAAUGAACUAAUUAGUGCCAUCCAUGAGAAGGAUGAUCUCUUGGACUCCCAAGAGGACUUCCUAAUCAAGGAAAAUAAGAAACAUGUUAAGGUUAAAAAUGCUUACGCUUUACAAGUUGAAAAAUGUGAAAAAUUAUCUAGUGAGCUAAGCACUUGCCGUGAGAUAAUUGACAACCUUAGAAAUGAAAAUACUAGUUUAAAUACUAAGGUUGAUUCUCAUGUUUGUAAUGUUUCAAUUCCCAAUCCUAGAGAUAAUAAUGAUAAUUUGCUUGCUAGGAUUGAAGAAUUAAACAUUUCUCUUGCUAGCCUUAGAUUAGAGAAUGAAAAUUUGAUUGCUAAGGCUAAAGAUUUUGAUGUUUGCAAUGCUACCAUUUCCGACCUUAGAACUAAGAAUGAAAUGUUGCAUGCUAAGGUUGUAGAACUUAAAACUUGCAAACCCUCUACAUCUAAUGUUGAGCAUGUUUCUAUUUGCACUAGAUGUAGAGAUAUUGAUAUUAAUGCUAUUCAUGAUCACAUGUCGUUAAUUAAACAACAAAAUGAUCACAUAGCAAAACUAGAUGCUAAAAUUGCCGAGCAUAACUUAGAAAAUGAAAAAUUUAAGUUUGCUAGAAGUAUGCUCUAUAAUGGGAGACGCCCUGGCAUCAAGGAUGGCAUUGGCUUCCAAAGGGGAGACAAUGUCAAACUUAAUGCCCCUCCUAAGAACUUGUCUAACUUUGUUAAGGGCAAGGCUCCCAUGCCUCAGGAUAACGAGGGCUACAUUUUGUACCCUACCGGUUAUCCCGAGAGCAAAAUUAGGAAAACUCAUUCUAGGAAGUCUCACUCUGGCCCUAAUCAUGCUUUUAUGUAUAAGGGUGAGACAUCUAGCUCUAGGCAACCAACCCGUGCCAAGUUGCCUAGAAAGAAAACUCCUAUUGCAUCAAAUGAUCAUGCUAUUUCAUUUAAAACUUUUGAUGCUUCUUAUGUGCUUACAAGCAAAUCCGGCAAGGUAGUUGCCAAAUUUGUUGGGGGCAAACACAAGGGAUCAAAGACUUGUGUUUCGGUACCCAAAGUUCUUGUUUCUAAUGCCAAAGGACCCAAAACAGUUUGGGUACCUAAAGUCAAGAACUAAAUUUGUUUUGUAGGUUUAUGCAUCCGGGGGCUCAAGUUGGAUACUCGACAGCGGGUGCACAAACCACAUGACCGGGGAGAAAAGGAUUGUUCUCCUCAUAUGAGAAAAACCAAGAUCCCCAACGAGCUAUCACAUUCGGGGAUGGAAAUCAAGGAUUCCAAGUAAAACAACUCCAAGAGGGCACCUUCAUUAGCCAAACGAAGUACACUCAAGACAUCCUAAGCAAGUUUGGAAUGAAGGAUGCCAAGCCCAUCAAGACACCCAUGGGAACCAAUGGGCAUCUCGACCUCGACACGGGAGGUAAGUCCGUGGAUCAAAAGGUAUAUCGGUCGAUGAUUGGUUCAUUGCUUUAUUUAUGUGCAUCUCGACCGGAUAUUAUGCUUUCAGUUUGCAUGUGUGCAAGAUUCCAAUCCGACCCUAAGGAAUCACACCUUACGGCCGUAAAACGAAUCUUGAGAUACUUGGUUUAUACUCCUAAGUUUGGGCUUUGGUACCCUCGGGGAUCCACAUUUGAUUUACUUGGUUAUUCCGAUGCCGAUUGGGCAGGGUGUAAGAUUAAUAGGAAGAGCACAUCGGGGACUUGCCAGUUCUUGGGAAGAUCCUUGGUGUCUUGGGCUUCAAAGAAGCAAAAUUCGGUUGCUCUUUCCACCGCCGAAGCCGAGUACAUUGCCGCAGGUCAUUGUUGCGCACAAUUGCUUUGGAUGAGGCAAACCCUGCGGGACUACGGUUACAAAUUAACCAAAGUCCCUUUGCUAUGUGAUAAUGAGAGUGCAAUCAAAAUGGCCGACAAUCCCGUCGAGCAUAGCCGCACUAAGCACAUAGCCAUUCGGUAUCAUUUUCUUAGGGAUCACCAACAAAAGGGAGAUAUCGAGAUUUCUUACAUUAAUACUAAAGAUCAAUUAGCCGAUAUCUUUACCAAGCCACUUGAUGAACAAUCUUUUACCAAACUUAGGCAUGAGCUCAAUAUUCUUGAUUCUAGAAAUUUCUUUUGCUAGUUUUGCACACAUAGCACACAAGUAUACCUUUGAUCAUGUCUCUUUUAUAUAUGCUAUGACUAAUGUGUUUUCAAGAGUGUUUCAAACCAAGUCAUAGGUAUAUUGAAAGGGAAUUGGAGUCUUCGGCGAAGACAAAGGCUUCCACUCCGCAACUCAUACUUCGCCAUCACUCCAAGCAACUCUCUAUUCUUUGGGGGAGAAAUGAGCAUCAAAGAAAAGGACUUCGUCUUUGGGAGAGAGUAAGAGCUCAAAGCUAAAGGACAGGACUUCGCCUUUGGUAUAAUCCUAACUCAUUUAUUUAUGCCCAAAGGGGAAGAUAGCACUUCGAGGGCUCUAAUAAUUCCGUUUUUGGCGAUUCAUGCCAAAGGGGGAGAGAGUAUGAGCCCAAAGCAAAAGGACCGCACCACCACCAAUUUCAAAAACUUAGUGCUUUCCAAAAGUAUUUUUCAAUUGGUAUCCUAUUGUGUUCAAAAGGAAAAGAAAAUUAGUUUUUCAAAAAUAUAUGUCAAAACCCUCUUGAACACUAAGAGGUGGAUCUCCUUUAGGGGGAGUUUUGUUAAGUCAAAGGAAAAGCAUUUGAAACAGGGGGAGAAAAUUUCAAAUCUUGAAAAUGCUUUGCAAACUCUUAUUCAUUUACCUUUGACUAUUUGCAAAAGAACUUUGAAAAAGAUUUACAAAAGAG
rnacentral:lncRNA from 1 species